rnacentral:lncRNA from 1 species
AAAAAUAAUAGGUAUUCAAUGAAUGAUAAUCAAAACCAUCAUGUAGCACAUAAAGAGAAAUUGUGGGUUAAUGAUAUUGAUAUGGUAAUAUGAAAAAGGAGUGAUUGCAUCAUUGUUGAUUCAUACAUGUAGAGUUAUUAAGAGGUGUUAAUUCAUGUUUCUAUAAAUAUUAAAAAGGCAUGACGGGGAUGUGUGAGCAUUUCUAUUCCUCCUUGAAAUCCCAGUGUUGUUUCGAGUCGGAGUCGAGCGAUGGUUAACUCGUCCCAACCUUCUCCCUCGGGGUAUGCGGGUAGUGCUUUGAUUUGUGACAAAGCUAAUCAAACUUUACAAUAAGAUAUGAGUUACUCAUUACUAAUGUGAAACCAUGGAUAUACGCAAUCUCACCUCCUCAUAUUUUGCGAGCCUCUUCGGUACUGUGCGUUGCCCAUUCUAACCUCGAGGAUUGGUGCGAACUUCGCCGGUGCAUCCAAACCCUGUGGCAUGAUAUGCCCUGUCACACAUAAAUCUUUCUUUUAUCUUCCUCAAAACAGCCACCCUACCUACCUAUCAUGGUAUUUCCAUAUCCAUUCCGAGAUAUAUUGUCAUGCAAAUUCAUCAUUUCAUCAUAUGACUAGUUCAUUCAUCAUCAUAUUGCUUUGCAUGAUCAUAU